rnacentral:rRNA from 1 species
GAUUUUGUUACGGUUUAUGUAUUUACAAUUCGGUUUAUAACAAUGGAAUUUAUAGAGUACCCAGUUAAGAAAUUUUUUUCUGUUGAGAAAUCAAGCUAAAGAAACCGUUAUAUUUAAGGCAAAGGUAGUGCCAGCAGCCGCGGUCAUACUAUCUUAGAGAGUAAAUAAAAUUAGUAAAAAAAAAAUAAAAAAAAUAUACAACUAUAGUGAAAUAUAUUGUGUAUCUACACAAUAUAUAUUGAAAAGGAAAUAAAGACCAAUAAUCAAACAAGGAUUAGAGACCCUUUUAUGAGGUAGAUAAAAAUCUUUACAGGGGAUUAAAGUAAAUGUUAACCUAAACUCAAACAACAUGGCGGUAAUUUUAAAUCUUAGGGGAACUUACCUAUUAAAUGAUAACCACCAAGAAUAACUACUUUAGAUAUAAAUUUUGUAUGCCGUCGUCUAGAUUAAAUAUAGUAUUUAAUCAUAUAGUUAUAUGACUAAAUGACAGAUCAUGGUGCAGACAAUUCUGAAGAUAAGGCGAGUUACAAUAGUAAAUUACAUCCUAUUUUAAUAAUUAUAAACAACUGAAAUAGUUGGACUUAAAAGUAAGAACUUUAUUAUAGUUAUAAUCUGAAUUAAAUAUAAAAUUGUGC